rnacentral:rRNA from 1 species
GCUUAACGCGAAGAACCUUACCUGGCCUUGACAUCCACGGAAGCCCUGAGAGAUCGGGGUGUGCCUUCGGGAACCGUGAGACAGGUGCUGCAUGGCUGUCGUCAGCUCGUGUCGUGAGAUGUUGGGUUAAGUCCCGCAACGAGCGCAACCCUUGUCCUUAGUUGCCAGCACCUCGGGUGGGAACCCUAAGGAGACUGCCGGUGACAAACCGGAGGAAGGUGGGAUGACGUCAAGUCAUCAUGGCCCUUACGGCCAGGGCUACACACGUACUACAAUGGUGGGAACAGAGGGUCGCGAGGCCGCGAGGCGGAGCCAAUCCCAGAAACCCCAUCCUAGUCCGGAUCGGAGUCUGCAACUCGACUCCGUGAAGUCGGAAUCGCUAGUAAUCGCAGAUCAGCAUUGCUGCGGUGAAUACGUUCCCGGGUCUUGUACACACCGGGUCUUGUACACACCGGG